UACGAAGGGUGCAAACGUUGCUCGGAAUUAUUGGGCGUAAAGCGCACGUAGGCGGCUUUGUAAGUUGGAUGUGAAAGCCCUCGGCUCAACCAAGGAAGUGCAUCCAAAACUACAAAGCUUGAGUACUUAAGAGGAUCGCGGAAUUCCCGGUGUAGAGGUGAAAUGCGUAGAUAUCGUAAGGAAGACCAGUGGCGAAGGCGGAUCUCUGGACAGUUACUGACACUGAGGCACGAAGGCCAGGGGAGCAAACGGG
rnacentral:rRNA from 1 species